GUGCAUUGUGCCUUUUUCCUUCCAUUCGACGUUUAAUGUUCCCAUCCUUCAUCAUCCAAAACCUAGACUUGUAAGACGAGUAAAAUUUCAGUUUAGUUUUCUUUAAUUUGGAAGUGGCUGGCGUUGUCGGCUUUCUCUUCUUCCGUCGGUCUCUUGAUGAAACAUGCCGCACUUGAACAACAGAGAGAGGCAAGAACGAAGACCGAAUACACUGAUAAGCCGCAAGCGGAGAAUGAGUCUGAAGAGAUGCAUUGAAAAGGGACCUGGAAUUCAAAUUAUUCGGAGAGAAAUGGAGGGGCUGGUAUAGUGAUGAGGCAGAGUGAAAGAUCCUGCGGGUAGAAGAAACGGAAUUUACAAUUUGAGAUGGCUUCGCCGCCGCAGAUCGGAGCUUGACGCACCACCUGAGCAUCGUCGUCGCCGUCGUACUCCAAGGGCGAAGGGAAAU
rnacentral:misc_RNA from 1 species